rnacentral:rRNA from 1 species
AGUGAACGCUGGCGGUAGGCCUAACACAUGCAAGUCGAACGGCAGCACAGUAAGAGCUUGCUCUUACGGGUGGCGAGUGGCGGACGGGUGAGGAAUACAUCGGAAUCUACUUUUUCGUGGGGGAUAACGUAGGGAAACUUACGCUAAUACCGCAUACGACCUACGGGUGAAAGCAGGGGAUCUUCGGACCUUGCGCGAUUGAAUGAGCCGAUGUGGGAUUAGCUAGUUGGCGGGGUAAAGGCCCACCAAGGCGACGAUCCGUAGCUGGUCUGAGAGGAUGGUCAGCCACACUGGAACUGAGACACGGUCCAGACUCCUACGGGAGGCAGCAGUGGGGAAUAUUGGACAAAGGGCGCGAGCCUGAUCCAGCCAUAGCGCGUGGGUGAAGAAGGCCUUCGGGUUGUAAAGCCCUUUUGUUGGGAAAGAAAAGCAGCAGGUUAAUACCCCGCUGUUCUGACGGUACCCAAAGAAUAAGCACCGGCUAACUUCGUG